GACGAACGCUGGCGGCGCGCCUAACACAUGCAAGUCGAGCGGAGAUACUUGAAGGAAGUUUUCGGAUGGAAUUUGAGUAUUUUAGCGGCGGACGGGUGAGUAACGCGUGAGUGACCUGCCUUCCACAGGGGGAUAACGUACCGAAAGGUACACUAAUACCGCAUGAGACCACAGCACUGCCUGGUGCAGGGGUCAAAGGAGCAAUCCGGUGGAAGAUGGACUCGCGUCCGAUUAGAUAGUUGGUGGGGUAACGGCCUACCAAGUCAGCGAUCGGGAGCCGACCUGAGAGGGUGAUCGGCCACAUUGGAACUGAGGGACGGUCCAAACUCCUACGGGAGGCAGCAGUGGGGAAUAUUGGGCAAUGGGGGAAACCCUGACCCAGCGACGCCGCGUGAGGGAAGAAGGUUUUCGGAUUGUAAACCUCUGUUCUUGGUGAAGAGGGAAAGACGGUAGCCAAGGAGGAAGCCCCGGCUAACUACGUGCCAGCAGCCGCGGUAACAC
rnacentral:rRNA from 1 species